CAGAGAUAAAAACACGUCCCGGUAGGUAGUCCGGGAGCGGCGGCAGACCCGCCGUCAGUAACCUGCCUCCUUUGGUUGUCCGUUCUCUG
rnacentral:ncRNA from 1 species